GGUGUUUAUUAAUUUCUCAGUGAUUUGUUGAAUGAAUGAAGGAAUGAAUGAAUGAAUGAUGUCUUUACCUUGAGAUUGGAGUUCUUUCAGAUUUGCUCUCUGCCCACCUCACCAGCCUCUUCUCCUAUCUUUACUCCAGCUACACAGAUGUCCGUGCAUGUUUUUCUUAGCACUCCAGGUGGAUUCAAACCUCAGGGCCUUUGCACACACUGUUCCCUCUGCCUGGUAAAAUAUUUCUCCACCAGCCAGGGCCUACUUCUCUUUCUACUUCUGGUUGACCCCAGAUACAGUUGGCCACUCCCUCCUAUGUUUGGAGCCAAACUAAACAAAUCUCUUAUUAUAAUACUCAUCACAUUGUCUGUGGCUUUGCCUAUUUUUCCUUUCUUUUAUCAGAGUGGAAGAAGCUUCUUUGGGUAGAGACAAGUCUAUUCAUCUUGGGGGACAUCAGGCCAACUCCACACCGAAGGCUGAUGAAACUUCAGGCAAUAUCCCUUCAUCUGAAUCUGAUGACGUGUGUCACGUUUUCCAGGUCCACACUCAGGGAUCUGGUCUGCGUUUUCAUGUAAGCUUUCUCCACUCUCACUUUCCCUGGACUCUCAUCCAGGAUUAGAUUUUUUUUUUUCUUUUAAAUGGAAUCUCAUUCUGUCACCCAGGCUGGAGUGCAGUGGCACCGUCUCGGCUCACUGCAACCUCUGCCUCCUGGGUUCAAGCGAUUCUCCUGCCUUGGCCACCACGCCUGGCUAAUUUUUGUAUUUUUAGUAGAGACGAGGUUUUGCCAUGUUGACUACGCUGUUCUCGAACUCCUGACUUCAUGUGAUCCACCCGCGUCAGCCUCCCAAACUGCUGGGAUUACAAGCAUGAGCCACCACGCCUGCCGCGAUUAGAUCAUUGAUCUCAUUGCAGGUGAACCAGUCCAGACCCCCAUCCAGGUUUUCCAGCUUGCUCGCUCCUCACGCUGUGGCUGUGUCCUGUGUUGCCGUGUUUCCGCUGAAUCCAGCCCUUGUUUUCGCUCUUCCUGGCCUUGCGGGCAGCCAGGAUUGAAAGAUCCAGGAAGUGACAGGGGCCUGACUCAUCAACUUGUAAGAGAGCUGGGGUUCUCCUAGAUCCAUGCUCGCACUGAGCCACAUCUGGGGCUCCGUCCCUGCAGCCAAGGCUCCCUGGCGCUGUCCUUGGUGCUGACGCGGUUCUGGAAGUGCGGUGCCAGGGUGGCUGGUGCGGCUCCCGAUGGAAAAGCCCCACCAACCCCACAAAGCAGACUCGGGAGAGAACACGCCACCGUCUUUAGCGAAUCUUACCAACCCAGGGCCAAAGCGCCCUGCACCCCAGAGCAGCACUCGUGGUGGGAACACAGGCUGAUGUAAUAAACAGAAAAGUGACUGCGGGGGAUGGGGAAGGCGGGAUGUCCUUAGCGUCCCAUGGAAAAAACAUAUUUCCUCCAGAUGGGAUCAUCG